UUGAUUCAUUUGUUUAUGAUUCCACUCAGACAUGCUAUAAAAAAGAUACAAGAGUUUGGGUCCUCCGGCGGGCGCCUGGUUCCGGGACGCCGAGGCGCCGGGGCGGUCCCGCCGAAGCAACGUUGGGUAUGUUCACAGGGGUUUGGGAGUUGAUAACUCGGUAAUGAUCCCUCCGCUGGUUCACCAACGGAGA
rnacentral:misc_RNA from 1 species